GUUUAUCCUCCCAGUACUAGCUCUUCUAAAUUUUUUUUUUUCUGUUAUAAUAAUAAACCGUGUACCUGUGUCCCAUCAGAGGAAGAAAAAGACAAAAGUUCCAACAUUUCUGUUCCUUCACUUCUGUAGAUAUUGUGUCUUGAAGUAUUUCUGCACCUGAGAAAGUCAGACCUGAUUAUCUAUGACACCGAUGCAAGAACUGUAAACUUGUUGCAGCCAGAUUUUUUUACCCAUGUUUACUUGAGAAGUGUGACUCCAUGAGCAAGCAGUUUCCUGCAUGCAUCUCUUAAACAUUGGCAAAUACAUGUUGCUUCAGAGUUGCUAUGUUAAUUUUGUGAUGCUUGAAGUGUAUUGCAUUUUUAGAAGAAAAAAAUGUAAAUUUCUAAGUUAUAAACCAGCAUUUUUCUCUCCUCUUUUAUCCCAAAUAUCUCCCCCAGUGUGUUUAUUAGUUAAAAAAUUCUGGCAUAACCAUAAGAGUACAUGUGAGAUAUUACAAAUGAGUCCAAUAUUAAGCACAUUAUUUUAGUCAUUUGCAUAUUUCAGAUGUCUUGGUUAACACAUUGCACAGUAAGUUUAUGUUCUUGCACUUUUAAGAAACAACAUUGUAUCACCUAUGUCACAGAUCCUUUUAUAGGGUAAGCAUGAAAAAAAUUUGUUCACACAAGCAUGAGAAUGAAGUUAAGGGCGUUGCUGAAGGUCACUGCAAGUCAAGUCAAGUAAUGCACAGGACAUUGAUCAUCUGACAGGUCAGGAAUAAAAUUCAUGACUUCUGAAUAUUCCCAGUCCUCAGAGAGUGUAAACAUCAGAUUAGAAGAGUCAAGGACAGGUCCCAUGAGAUAGCACCAGAAGAGAAGCAAGUAUGGUGAAGAGAAUGGGAAGAGAGAACGGGUCGGAAAAGUUGCACAAGGCAUAGGAGGAAAGGGCUACCAAUGAAGGAAUGGGUUGAAUGCAUAGAACGUCAUUCCCUGGUACCAGCAGCCAGUUCAGCUGAACAUGGACUUUGUGCUUACAAGCUCUUGAAAGAGGCUCCACCCUCAUCAAACCAGUCCUGCCUAGAUGCCUUCUGAGACCAGCUGCUGCCCUCCCCCACAAGAGGUGACUGGUGCUGGAGUGUGAACAUUUGUACACCACUUUUAUCAGCCUGGAUGACUAAUCUUGUCUCUAUGACAGUGCCAUGGAAACAGUUGUUAGGAAAACAACAGAGUUGCUGGUGACCAGACCCACGUGCAAGGCUGGGGUGGUGGGCCAGGCGCAGAGCUCUUCAGGAUCUUGAAGCCUCGUCUGACGCAGCUUCUCCCAGUGCUCCCACAAACAGCCAGCACUUCAGCAGGGGACCCAAAGCAGUCCUUCCAAAUACUGUUUUCUCAGCAUCAGAUCCUGACCAUCAAGGUGUUUUUGAAAGAGAACCUUCUGCCUUGGAUAGAUCACUGACAAUGAAAGUCUUUGUCUACCCUCAGAAGAGGUCAUUUCUACGGGACUUUCAAGCCUAUACAGAUUUGGUAUUCGCUUAGAGAGCAUCUGAGGAAUCUGCAGCCAUGAUUGUAAUUGCAUGCUCAGACCUGCAGGCUCUCUGGGUGGAAGGUGUUGCUUGCGAUGCAUUUCAGAUGGCAGAAUGGCUUCAUUCAAAAGUCACUGGUCUUUUGGGAAAUAUGCAUUAUGCUGUUUGCAAGGUCAAAGUCUCUAGCUGAAUUAGCAAGAACGCACUGUGAGCAACCUAGAAAAGGUAGCAUUUGUCUUGUGAAGCAUUUGCCAAAGUUUAACACACACACAGCAAAGAUAUACAUAGAUGUAAGUAAAAUAUAAAUAAUUGCAGUGAGCGCCUUAUAAUGCAUUCAAGGAGUUCUACUUUUGUCAGUUUGCAUUCUAAAAUGUGAAAGGUAAAUAAAUGGACUGUAAGCAAAUUUAUUUUUCCUGUUGGUUUUUUUCCUGUAUUUUUCCUGUUUCUACACAGUCAGAGGUUGCAGGGUAUAUCUCAGGGAAAUGAGGCUAUUGAAAAUGUAAUUCUUUGGUGCAGACAGUUUUUCAUGCACUAAGAUGUGCAGACGGAACCUGGGGAUGCAGAGACAGGUUUAACUGUUCACAGUGUGACAGUGCUCAAGCACUACGAGGAAUGAGGUAGCUUAGCUCUCUCUGUAAAUUCAUAUGAUAACACAGCAGGUAAUACUAGAUGAGCUCUGUGUACCAGUUUCAGACUGGGUCUUCACCAGGUUUCCAGGAGUAUCUGUAGCAUCUGGAUCUCUACUUCUGGGCCACACAUUGACAGAAACCACCUCAUUAGGGGCUGAAUUUGUCUGGAUACUUUGUGAAGCCAACUUCAAACUUUAUAGAACUUCUGCCGGGGUUUGCUGAUGGCCUUUGCUGUAAACAUUGAAUUUCUUCCAUGUAGUAUGGGUGAUCAUCUCAAUAGCAUCAACAGAAGUGCUGGUGUUGCCCUUUCCCUUAUUGUAGUACUGCUAAUGACCCUUUGCUUUGUAGUGGCCCUAGUCUAUGUCCCAUAAAUACCCUUCCUCCAGUGUUAGCACUGCCAACUGCUUGCAGGUCUUGGUAUUUCAGAAGCUGCUCAGCUAGGAUUGGAUGUGAUCCUCUCUCAAGAGAACAGGGAUCUAUCAGGAGGAUCCUGAUAGGGCUGUAUUGAAGCACAGAAGGAGAGAAAAGUGUGGCCAGUCUAAGGAAGUUUGUACCCUUUUCUGCAUAUACUUGUAAACAAGUUGUAACUGCAAACACUUGUACUGCAUGGUGCACUUGCAUUUAGAACAGG